rnacentral:lncRNA from 1 species
UGAUUUUAAUUAUUUCCUGUCUUCUAUGGUUAUGGUGUUGAUUUGCUCUAAUUUUUCUAGGGCUUUGAGAUGCAAUGUUAGGUUAUUUAUUUGGUGACCUUCUAGUCUUUUAAUGAAUGGGCUAAAUGCAAUGAACUUUCCUCUGAGAACUGCCUUCAUAGUGUCCCAGAGAUUUUGGUAGGUUGUAUCACUAGUCUCGUUUACCUCUAAGUAGUUUUUUUUUUUAAUUUCAUGCCUGAAUUCUUCUGCUAUUCAUUGUUCAUUCCAUAGUGUAUUAUUUAGUCUAUAGAAUGAUUUCCAUUUUAUAUCUUAUCAUUAAUUUCUCUAAUUGCAUUCCAUUAUAAUCUGAAGAAAUGCAAGAUAGCAUCUCUCUCUCUCUCUCUGUCUGUCUCUCCCUAUUUCUCUUGCCAUUUUGCAGUUGCUAAAAGUUGCUUUGUGGCCUCAGAUAUGGUCUAUUUUAGUGAAGGAUCAAUUUUGCUGUUGGGAAGAAAGUGUAUUCAGUCAUUUAGAGGUGAAAUAUUCUAUAUUAUAUACCUGUCUAAAUUAUUAAUUGUACUUUUUAUUUCUAUAGUUUCUUUAUUUCAUUUUUGCUUGGGGAAUAUAUCCAUUGGUGACAGAGGUGUGUUACAGUCACCCAGUAUUAUUGUGUUGUGGUCUAUUUGAUUCUUGAAAUUGAGAAGGGUUUGUUUGAAGUACAUAGAUGCUCCAUUGUUUGGGGCAUAAAUAUUUAUGUUGUUAUGUCUUGUUGAUGUAUUAUUCCCUUAAGCAGUACGAAAUGUCCUUCUUUGUCUCUUCUGAUUGACUUUGGCUUGAAGACCACUUCAUCUGAUAUGAGGCUAGAAACCCCUGCUUGUCUACAAGAUCCAUGUGAACAAUUUUUUUUUUAUCCUUUCACCUUCAGUCCUGGAUGUCUUUGCCUAUAUGGUGAGUCUCUUUGAGACAGCAUAUUGUUGGAUCUUAUUUUUAAAUAAAAUCUGCCAGACUAUGUGUUUUGAUUGAAGAAUUUAGACUAUUUACAUUCAAUGUUACUAUUGAGAAAUAAUUUUCAUACCCUUUCAUUUUGAUUUAUUUCUGAAUUUUCUUUGAAUUAGUUCUUUCUUUGAUUGACUAUUCUCUAGUAUAAUUUCUCCCUUUGCUAGUUUAAUGUUUAUUUUUUAUUUCUGCUUCAUGAAAUAUUUUAUUGAGUAUGUUUUUUAUUGCCUGCUUUCUAGUUGUGAAUUCUUUUAACUUUUGUUUAUCAUGGAAGGUUUUCAUUUAACCAUCAAUUCUGAAGCUGAAUUUUGCUGGGUAUAGUAUUCUUGGCUGGCAUCCAUUUUCUUUCAGAGCUUGGUAUAUACUAUUCCAACACCUCCUAGCUUUGAGUGUCUGGGUUAUAAAAUUAGCUGAGAUCUGGAUUGAUUUCCCUAUAAAUGUGACCUAUCCUUUUUUUCUGACAGGCUCUAAAUUGCUAUCCUUGUUCUGUAUGCUGAAAAAGCAAGGGAAAAAAUUGCCCCAUAAAAACCAAGAUACUUCAAUAACCAAAUCCCUCAACACCAAAGUGGAAGAGAUGUCAGAGAAGGAAUUUUAAAUGUGCAUAAACUGAUCUUGAGGUAUAAGAAAAAGUAAGGACUGAAUCAAAAAGAAAAUACAGGAAGUGAAAGAUAAUUUCAAUAGUGAUCUUCCAUUUGAAUUACAGUUUGAGGCAAUGAAGACUAAAUAUAUAAUCUUGAAAAUAACCUUGACCAUGGAAAAAAAGAUACUAAGAAACUAUGAACAGAAAUCCCAAGAAACAUGGGGGAAAAAUAGAGAAAGACCAAAUAUAAAAUUUAUUAGGAUAGAUGAAGGCUUGGAGAUACAAACCAAAGGAAUGCACAAUCUUUUCAAUGAAAUGAUAUCAGAAAAUUUCCUGAACCUUAAGAAUGGAAUGGGAAAUCAAAUAUAGGGUCUUACAAGACACCAAAUACACAAAAUUACAACAGACCCACACCAGUGCACAUUGUUAUUUAUUCUAUUGUUUUAUUGUGAGGUUCAAUUCAAGAUUAUAAAUAAUAAUUUAAUAGUGAAAAUGAAAAAUCACCCAAAUACUCAAUAAUAAGGAAAUAGCUAAGUGUUUUAUAGUACAUUUAUAUGAUGAAAUAUCACAUGGGCACAAUAUUUUCAAAGAAUAUCAAUGACAUGAGAAAUCAGUCUUUAGUAUAAGUGCCAAAAACAGGAUACAAAAUCAUAUCUGCUAUUAACUAAAUGCAAAGUACACACAAACACAUACACAACACACAGGCAAGCACAUAAAACCAUACAAGAAAAAGAGUGGGAAAGAAACUUAUGGACACGUUUACAAGAGUUACCUCUGGGUAUGGUUACUUUUCUUCUUUUUACUUUUCUCUAGUUUCUAAUAUAUUUAUAAUAAAAAGGAUGAAGUACUGACAUGCUACAACCAGGAUAAUCCUUAAAAGCAUUGUGAUAAGUGAAAGUUAAAAAAUGAUCAAAUAUUGCAUGCAGGAUUAUACAUUAUGUACUGACAUGCAGAAAGCAGACUACUGGUUGCCCAGGAUUACGGGUGAAGGUGAAGAAUGGGUAAUUACUGGCAAUGGGUGUGGGGAGUCUUUGUGGGGUGAGAAAUACUCUAAAAUUACAUUGUGAUGACAGUUUUACAGCUCUGUGGCUAUGUAAAAACCUUUUACACUUUAAAUGUGUGAAUCAUAGUGUAUAUAAAUUAUGUCAGGAAAGCUGUCUAAAGAAAAAAGUAAGUAAUAUAAUCUUUAUGCAGAAUGUUUUUAAUGCUUUUUUUAAGGAGGAGGAAAGAAAAAAAAAGUUGAGGAUGAAGAAGAGAGCCAGGUGAAUAAUUUAACUCAAACCUAUGCUAUACCAAGUCUCCAAACACAAUUCCAGUUCUGACUAAGUCCUAGGGGUAGAUGGCUCUGGCUUCCUGUCUCAAGCCACAACUCAAUUGCAAUAUGAGGAACUCUUUGAAUAUGUUCUCAAUUUUAGAAUGGUAGUUCUUCAAGGGCAAAGGCUCUGUCUUGUUCACCCUUAAUUCCCUCUAGAUUUUAGCACAUGUUCUGCUACAAAUCAGUCACUUUCAAUGGUUUUGUUUGUUUAUAGUUUUUCAUUUUGUGCUUAAAACAAGAGGAAUUUAUUUUCACAGUUCUUGAAGCUAAAAGUCCAAAAUUCAGGUGCUGGCAGAGCCAUAAUUCUCUGGAGGCUCAAGGGAAGAGCCUCCUUCUUAUGCUUCCUGAGGUUUCCAGCCAACCUUUGUGUUCUGUAGAUUGUAGACACAUCACUCUAAUUGCACCUUCAUCAUUAAUCACACGAUGGCCUCCUGUGUUUCUCUAAGAAAGUGUGAGGUCCCUGAGUCGUCCACAAUCCUAAGCUUCUUUCUUCUCUAGAGAACUUGGUGUUCUUGGAGAAGGGACAUUCAAUAGUAUGGACCCAGAAAUUCUUCUCCCAGGAGUUUUGAUUCCUUCUGGCUAGGAUUUUCUUGGACUAGGGUGGAAUCCUAGGAUCCACUCUUAAUGCAGAUACAGGAAGAGAGCAGAGUUGGGCUAACUUGAAUAAGAAAUCAGGGAGUUCCUGUUCUACCCCAUUUCCACACUUUUUUUUCAGUAAGCUUUUCUCUCACUAUUGCCCAAUAGAUAGGUUUUUAAUGACUGAAUAGGGGUUAAAAACAUAUUCCCACUGGAAAAAAAAUAUGAUCCUGUGGGCUGAAAAAAAUCAUAAUUAUGAGAAAAUGUAGUACAACGAUAAGAUAAGGGAACAUAUCUUGAGGACUUUCAAGGACUAAAGGCUAGAAAAAAAAAUCAUCCUAAAAUCUUGGGUGCAUUUGGUCAUCAAAGAACAUUUUUCUCAACACUUGAACUGAAUCCUAAGGCCAUGGUCUAUCAGUUAUGACACAAGUUUGAAGUAAACAGAAGAGUGCUUUGUUAGUGUAAAAGGUUUGCACAUGGCUUCAUGUACAAAUGUGUAACAACAAAUUCUACUAUAAUGUGUAAUUAGAGUGCACCAAUAAAAUAAACAAAUAAAUAAACAUAAAAGCAUAACAAAAGAAAAAAUAAGUGAACGAAAUAUAAAUAUGAGGCUUCUGCCACAGAGACAUGAUUAAUCAAUCAGUUCAACCAAUCAGUUGCAUCAGUGAUAAAUAGUGGAUAGUUCUGUAUUUUCCAUACUCUGACUCUGGAUAAAGCUCUUGGUCCUCCUCUAAUUGAGUUCCCUAGAAUUACAACAGUUCUCAUCACCUUCUGCCCACAUAUCAACUUAGUAAAAAACAUGCAGCAAAGAGUUUUAGUUUUAGUUUUAUUAAAAGGGAAGAAGUUGAGUCUGCUUUACGUUUUCCCUCUAAGACAUUUAGACCUUGUCCAUUGAUGUGCUUUGAAUGUAUCUCCCAAAUAAACACAUGCUAGAAACUUAAUCCUCACUGCAAAAGUGUUGCCAAUGAAGGGAUUAAGGCUCUGCCUUUAUGAAUUAAUGCCAUUAUUUCAGGAGUGGUUUUAUUAUCAAGGGAGUAGUUUCCUUUUAGAAAAAACAAGUUGGUCUACUUUUGCUCUCUCUCCUUCACUCUUUGCCCUCUUGUCAUAGGAUGAUGCAGCAAAAAGAACUUCGUCAAAUGUACCCCUCAAUCCUGGACUUCAGUCUAUAGAACUGUUAGCCACUAAAUUUUCGUUUAUUAUACAUUGUCCAAUCUUUAAUAUUUUUGUUAUAGCAGUACCAAACAGGCUAAGAACUCAUAAAGGCAUGAAUGUGGUCAUCUGGCAUUCAUUCAUCAUUUAUUUAUUAAUAUGUCCAACAAAUAUCCAUUAUACCUCUAUGUGACAAUCACCUGGGGAGAUAUAAAGAUAAAUAAGACAUGAAUCAUGGCCCAAGAAAGGUUAAUAUGUUUUCCAACUAAGUCCAUAUGUUUUAAGUGACAUUAUAAGUCAUGAAGUAUAUCAGUAGCUGGAAAGUUAGUUUUCAACUUUGAAAGUUAAUGUUUAAUUUUGUUGAAAGUUAGUGUUUAAUUGUCAACAUUAUCCCAAAAGAUAUUCCCCGGAAGACCUCUGACACCUUGAAUACAUUUUUCUACUGGAUUCUUUGGAAUUGCCAGAGCUCCAAACUAAAUACCUUCAUAUUUUAGGUCAGACCUAAAGGGAUGAAGUGACAUAUCUAAAACUACAUCGUGAGCUAGUAAUUAAUCAGUACUUGAAUCCAGAUCUCUCCUGACAUAGUGCCCUAUGAGUUCACUCCAUAUAUCCCAGAGAAAUGCAUGGAUGAAUUUUACAGUGACCUUGUGUAAUGCUAGGCUUAGCUUGUGCUCAGUCACCAGAUCAGCAUUCCACCACUGCCUGAGAUUCCACUUGUAUUAGUAUUCUGUUGUUGUGUAACAAAUUGUCCCAAACCUAGCAGCUUAAACUGCAGUAAUUAUUAUCUUACAAUUUUUGAGCAUGAAGAACUCAGAUAUGGCUUAUCUGUGUCCUUUGCUUCAGGGUUUCUCAUGUCAACCAAGGUGACACCCAGGAUUGAGAUCUCAUCUGAAUACUCAAUUAGGGCAUAGUCUACUUCCAAGCUCACUUACAUCGCUGUUGGAAGAUUCAGUUCCUUGGAUGCUACUGACAAUGGUUCUGAGCUGUUCAGUGACAAUUGCCUGGAGGCUGCCCUCAGUUCCUUGCUGUAUUUUCACCUCCAACAUGGCAAUUUGCUUCAUCAAACUCAAUGCAAACAAGGAAAUCUGCUAGCAGCAUGGUAACCAUGAUUAUUUCUAUUUACAAGAGUAACAUUCCUUUGUCAUAUUAGUUAGGAUAAAAUCACUAGAUUCCACCCAACUCAAGAGAAGAUUACACAAUGACAUGAAUGCCAGGAGGCCUCUGUAGAAACUGGCUAUCACACCACAUUGUUAGCCGCUGGAUUACACACUUGAAGAGCAUCCAUGUGACCUUUUCCCAAGAGAACUGGCAGGCAGAAUAAUAGAUGGUAGAUGGGAAGAGAUCCAUAGGUAUAUGUUUUUCCCUUUCCUUCCUCCCACAGACAGCUGUGCUAGAAAAGACAGCCAAGUUGCACUCAGAAACAACUUGGACGUAAGCCUCCCUUUAUAGUAAAUGUUAUAGAACAUUCUCUUUUUUUAUUUAUGACAACUGGAUCUUCAAAAAACACUCCAAAUACCCGGAAAUCUACUCAUAUCCAUCCUUUAGAUGGGAAUAAAAUUGCUUUUUCUUGACAAAUUGCUUUGGCCUGGACAGUAAUUCUGACUUUUCAUUAGUAUGUAGUCUUAUUUUGUUUUCACUGUUCUCUUCUAUUUCCUCUUAUUUAUUAGUCCAUAUGGUUUUCCAAAGCACCAAGAUAUUCUAGAGUCCUUUAUUGCUUAUUUAUCUUCCUAGCCACUUAUUCAAUCAUCCAAUAAAAUUUAUUCAGUUCCUAUUAUGUGUUAGAUCCAAGGCUAGUUCUUAGGUGAUGUAAAUAUGUAUGAUCCAUAAACACUUUGUUUAGUCAAACAUUCAAAAAAUUUUUUUUUGAAAGGCAUACCAGUUUAUUUGGGGUAAAAUUGGGAGUUCAUAACCAACUUGAAUCUAAUGUAUGAAAUAUGAUAUGUCAAGAGCUUUAUAAUGUUUUGAACAACCAAUAAAAAAAAUUAAAAAAAAA